GCUAGGGGUCUCUAUAAGGAAACGUACAGUCUGGUUGAGCAGCAGCCUAUCUGCAAAAAGAGCCUGCCUAGAGUCAGCUUAUUUUUCUUGGGAGAACCCAAGUAUAAGCAGAUCCCAUCAAACAGAGUCAAUAUGGGACAAUUUCAGAACCAGGCCCGAAACUGACAUGCCACAGGAUAUCCAGGGAAAGCUUUCAUUGUCCUGCAAAGUCAUUCAGAAAACUACCGUCAGGAGUGACCUGUGACUGACUUCUUAGUCCACUGGAAAUGUAACUCUAGGAAUGCCUAUGCUUUGACAGAAGGUUGUUGCUUCUUGCCUCAAGUUCAAUGCCUACUAGCAUCUCCGUGACUUCCCUCAGUCCUGUCAGUUCCAUCAGUCACAGCACAAUCACAUAGUCAUUAAUUGACCCGUAAUUAACCUGAAAGCAUGAUUGUCAUCUAUCUUCUCACUGUCCUUAUUAACACGAGAUUUUCAUUCCAUCUCAUUGGGCUCUGAGUAUGUGGGUUUACAUAUUUUUGUGUAGUAUUUAAGGGUCUGACUCUUUGUAUUGUGUAAGACUUUUUGCUGCCUCAGUAACUGAUGCCUUUGGCUGCUGAAAAGCAGAACCUGAAAUUUAACAGCCAAAAGUUAUUUUUAAUUUUCUUCUGGUGGAGAACUAGUAUUUCAGUUAAAAGUAAACAUAACAAAAAUGGAUGCAAAAAUAGGAACUAGUGAAUAUUCAUCUCUUUUACUUCUGGUAGUUUUAAGUGCUGCAUUUGUUUGCACAUCUGUACAUUUACACUGCAAGUGCUGCCCAAGAAGAUGGAUCGAAUGCCAUAUUGUUGUGAAGAGAAAACCAUUUGUAGUAACUAGCAGUGACUAUGGCUACACCCACUGAAGUAUGGACACCUUGCUGGGAAAGAUACAUGUGCAUAACUUGCACCAGUUUUGGUUUACCUGGCCCUACUGUAUUUGUCUGAUGCCACUCUUUCAUGGGGGGUAACCAAUGGGGACAUUCUGAGAAGCUGCUUAAUUAAUAUAAGUGAUUGAUUUAAUUUUAGAAUGGGUAGGAAUGUUACUUUUGAUGGACAUUGCAGACUUAACAAAAUCUCCCAGGUUAUAAACAUCAAA